UAUAAUUAUGUGUUGUUAAAUUUUAACUUUUUAAAAAUAAAACAAUAUUCUUCUUCCAAGUCAGUUUGCUGCGGUUCCCUUACAAGACGGGUGGAGAAAACGUAUUAUUAAAGCGAAACCAACCAGAGGAGAUGGCGGAAAAAAUAUCCUCGCAAGCCGGUGAGAGAAUAUUCCGUGCGUCGAGCAUGCGUGUCCGGCGAUGCACGUGCGCGUCAGUUGGCCCCUAACGGGAAUCAUAUGCAUAUUGCAAC
rnacentral:lncRNA from 1 species